rnacentral:lncRNA from 1 species
AUCGGGAGACAGUUACUAAAAUCUAAUUCAAACCGUCGAGUUAUUCAGGCGCUGUAGGGGUAGGGGAGUCCAUUCAUGGUGAAAUCAUUAUCGUUAAGUUUUCAAUCUUCUUUGGUUGUUUGCAGGCUAAUAGAACGGUGGUGAUUGUUUGCAACUAUUUGAACACGAAUACAGAGGAAUACUUUCUGGAAGAGUUGAAGGCGUUUGUCUUCCGUCAGAGUGGCGCAUCUUUUGAAUUUGUCGCAACGAACAUUGUAAAACUCAAGUUACCUUUGCUAACAUCAGUAAUUGGUGUGACGGCAACGUAUUUGCUGGUCUCCAUCCAAAUUCGAAAGGCUGUUUCUGACAUGUAAUAUAUGAUCUCUCCUCGGAAUUCUCACAAAAUGUAUUUAAAGUAAAGCUACUAAAUUACCCAUAGUAUAAGAAAUUAACUUCGUUCAAAUAAACAUUCCUGCAAAUAUUCGAAUAAAAAAUUGGUUUUACUGACUCAACUUGACUGUCGAAAGGAAAACAUUGAAAUUGAGCACACGCAGUGCAGAGUAAUAUUUUUGUUGUUCACUAACCUAAAAAAAAGUCUAGAUAUUAUGAAUUGACAAUUAGAUACAUGAAAAUAUUUUCACUAGUUUGAAUUACUUAGAAUUUCUGUGGUAGUUAAAGUAAUAUGAAUUGACAAUUAGAUACAUUAAAAUAAUUUCAAUAGUUUGAAUUACUUGGAAUUUCUGUGGUAGUCAUACUUGUAAUUUAUCCAAUUUUAUUGUGAGAACCAAUGUCACGAGAGUAAAUUGGUGAUGAAAAUGGUGCUGCAUAUGCGUUAAACGGACUUCUCUUUCGGUUUCAAGAAUUGAAAAGUAUCCACCUUUUCCGAGCAUGCAUUACAUUGGGUUUCCAGCACUGAGACUGAUGCUUUUCGGCUAAUCGCUUUCUUGAUCGACUUUCAGACAAAACCUCUGAAAUAAUUUGCGACCGUAUAAAUAUACUAAAAUGAGUGUAAAGUUGAACGGUUCUUUCCCAAUUUUUUCGUAUUGUAAAAAAAUUACUUUUGAUUUUACAUAACUGGCACACAUUUUUGAAACUUCCCUUUUUUGAUUUGACAAGAAAAAAAGCACAGUGAAAUGGACUUGAAAGCAAU